ensembl:rRNA 5S_rRNA 5S ribosomal RNA
GUCUAUGGCCACGCCACCCCGAACAAGCCCAAUCCCGUCUGAUCUCGGAAGCUAAGCAGGGUCAGACCUGGUUAGUAAUUGGAUGAGAGACCACCUUUGAAGACCAGGUGCUAUAGGCA